rnacentral:rRNA from 1 species
GACGAACGCUGGCGGCGUGCCUAAUACAUGCAAGUCGAGCGCAGGAAACUGACGGAACUCUUCGGAGGGAAGGCAGUGGAAUGAGCGGCGGACGGGUGAGUAACACGUAAGGAACCUGCCUCAAGGAUUGGGAUAACUCCGAGAAAUCGGAGCUAAUACCGGAUAGUUCAACGGACCGCAUGGUCCGCUGAUGAAAGGCGCUUCGGCGUCACCUUGAGAUGGCCUUGCGGUGCAUUAGCUAGUUGGUGGGGUAACGGCCCACCAAGGCGACGAUGCAUAGCCGACCGGAGAGGGUGAUCGGCCACACUGGGACUGAGACACGGCCCAGACUCCUACGGGAGGCAGUAGUAGGGAAUCUUCCACAUUGGACGAAAGUCUGAUGGAGCAACGCCGCGUGAGUGAUGAAGGUUUUCGGAUCGUAAAACUCUGUUGUAAGGGAAGAACACGUACGAGAGGAAAUGCUCGUACCUUGACGGUACCUUACGAGAAAGCCACGGCUAACUACGUGCCAGCCGCCGCAGUAAAAC